UUUUCCUACCUUGCAUUUGUGCUGCUUUUAUCAAUUAUAGCGGGUUUUCCCAUCCAUUUUCGUAAAAAAAUCUCUCCUUUCUCCACAGACGCUACCUUCCGCUGCUGUUGGAGUUGUUUGACAAGCGGACAGCAUCUUCAAAGCUGGCAAGUGUUUUCUGGAGUCGCUCCAAGCGUCUCUGGUUACAUCCCGUUAUUCAUCGUCAAAACACAGCCAAACCUCAAAACACUGCAACUACUUGAUAUAACAAGCAGUAAUUUCAGCACGUGUCACCUUCAAAGUAAUCAUCAUUAAGGACCGCAUGUUUUGGAUAUCCUACGAUAUCCACCUUCCCUCUGUUCAGUUUUAUCGCUAUUACCAUACUUACUUUAGUACAAAAUCGGUUUCCUUCAGCAGUUUCCUAAACUGCUUCUUGGGAGUCACAUUUUAUUUAUACUCCUUUCGUUAAUUCAGGUUCGAUUGCAAGAAAACGGCUUGCUAAGGGUCACAUCCGUCAAACUUUUCUAAAGUGGCACGAUAAUGCAACCCUGCGCCUAAUCUAGGCCAUUGAAAAAAAGCUGAAUUGAAAGAAAUUUUAUAUUUUUUUAUUCACAGCAAUUAAGUUUAUCCCCAUUUACUUAAGAUACAUAAAUAUCAGGAAAAUAAUACAUUUCACAAGUUUUGUAGUUUGUAAUACCCUAAUGAUGAUAAAUACAUCGGACAUGGCUUGUGGAUCUUGUUGCUUCAACGGUAUUUUGAAGAAAUAUAACUAUUGUAUAUCGGGUGAUAUGCCACACACUUUUUGCACUGGGAAUUCUUAGGAGUCGGCCUUUUUGGUACGACGUCCGUUUGAGCCUGGUAAUGACCCCGCUCUGUUUUAUAGAGUAACGUACCUUCCUAUCUACAAAGUACAGUGUUUUAUUAUUAUUGAUUGUAUUAAUAGUAUUAGAUAGUAUUGAUAGAAGUUUUUUUUAUAUUAAAGAUAUUUGAUAAAUCAA